CAACCCCAUCUCAGGUGAGAACACCCAUUGAGUUUAAGUAUAUAAUUAAGUAAAGGAAAAUAAACUUCAAGGAUUCCCCUAGUAACGGCGAGCGAACCGGGAAGAGCCCAG
rnacentral:ncRNA from 1 species